GUGUGAGUUCUUCAUCAGAGCGAAUGUGGAUGGGGACAACUCCUGUGGAUGGGGAUUUUCUAGGGGGUCACCAUACAGGUCAAGUGCUGGCAAUGGGGAUGGGGCUUUUGGGGGAAGCUUCAAGCCCAUGUGGCCCCCUCCAGUGGCUGGUAGGCUGAUGCUUUUCACAGCCUCUGUGUUUCCAAGCCUCCUGGUUUCCAAGGCUACCACAAAGCUGGGGAGAAGGGGAUGGAAAUAGGGCAAAUUAAAAUGCUCUGAAGUUCACAGUUCUUAUAGAUACUCAGCCAUUUCUCUUGAAUAAACUCCCCCCAAACUGUGGUUAAUUGCCAAAGUCCUGGAAAAGGUUUUGACGAUUUUUGGCAAUGUUUUUGUUGCCUUUAUGGAGGAGCAGGUUUUCAGAGGUCCUUAUUCUUCCAUUCUGGGAGGGCUUGUCCCCUCAGAUUGACUCUCAAUUCAAUACACGAAAAAAAUGAAGAUGCAAUAUUUUGCUUCUGCGCGAACAUCAGCAAAAAGCUUUAAGAUGUCUAAAUCCAGCGCUGGCAAAGGUAUGACUGAGCGAAGACAGGGAGAGGUCCAUGCCAUUGAAAGAAGUCUAUUACUCAAAGUUCCGCAGAAACCAGGGAACAUGGAACCCUGCAGGGCCAGGCGAAGCCUCAGUGCACCCAGGAGACGGGGAGAGACACAGGGCCAGAGAGGAGCUGGGACCGUGCCUUCACUGCUGCUGUGGUGGGGAGCAGCCAGGUGGAGGCGUUUGUGACCCGGCAGGAAGUGAAACACACAUGUUAGGGUCUGUGGAUAAAGGGUUUGCAAGGCGAUUUUCGCUUGUCCGCAAGAGCCAGACCCCGGGGGAGAUGGAAACAGCUUUGGCUGGUAGUUUGGCCUUGAGAUCAAGGGAUGCCAGAUCAUCCAUAACUAAAUGUGUAAGAAUAGGUUAGAACACCCCUUUCGUCACAAGCUUGGGCUCCACACUCUGGGCCAAGCGUAGCAGCCCAAGGGACGGAAUGCUCUCUUGUGGGAACUGGGGGGCCCGUCGUCAUUCUGCAGAUGGGCAGAUGGAGAUCCAGACUUACAGAGGAGGGGCGCUCACAUCUCCGCAGAGACUAUCCUGGGGCAGGACUGGAGCCAGACGUCUGGGCCUGCCUUACGGGCCCCCGUUUCACACCCACUUCCCAACACUGGACCUCAUCCUGCUUCUGUACAGUGGCUGCUGCCCCGGAGGGGCCGGCUCUCACUUUUCCAGACCCAAGGAUCCUGGGGGCAGGUCCUGAGGAGGAAGAAUGCUUGUGGAUCCUCCCUGUGUGGCUUCGGGGACCCCUCCCCCUCCUCUACCCACAGAGUUUGCAAGCACAGGUCUGGGUGAUAACAGGAGGUUGGCACCAGGAUGAACUGGCUGCCACAGCGAGCAGCCCCCACCCAGGGAUGCUGCCACGCAGAAUGCGCCAGCUGUUCCCAGCAUCCCCAUGAUGGUUCCCCAAGCUACCGCCUUCUUCCCAUACCAUACCAGUGCCCUUGGGUCUCAGCCCCAGAGAGAACCUGAGCCUAGAGCCUACCCUUAAUCCUAGGCUGGAGCCAAAGCACCCAGGACCCGGACCCCUGAACCCUUCUGCAGGAGAUGCACUGGGCCACCCGGCAGCGGCCAGCCCAGAGACCUCGAUACCAUAGGGAAGCCUGGAGCCCACAGCCCGGUGCUGGGAGCCUGGAAUGAAGAAGGGGGAGACCAGAAUGGAGAGCCUGGCUAAAACCCCUGCUCCAC
rnacentral:lncRNA from 1 species